CUACGUAGCCAGAGUUUGAUCCUGGCUCAGGACGAACGCUGGCGGCGUGCCUAACACAUGCAAGUCGAACGGAGUUGUUCCUUCGGGGACAACUUAGUGGCGAACGGGUGAGUAACGCGUGAGAAACCUGCCUUUCAGUGGGGGGACAACAGUUGGAAACGACUGCUAAUACCGCAUAAUGUAUUCGGGGGGCAUCCCCUGGAUACCAAAGAUUUAUUGCUGAAAGAUGGUCUCGCGUCUGAUUAGCUAGUUGGUGAGGUAACGGCUCACCAAGGCGACGAUCAGUAGCCGGUCUGAGAGGAUGAACGGCCACAUUGGGACUGAGAUACGGCCCAG
rnacentral:rRNA from 1 species